GUCCAUAUCAUGUUGAAAAUACUACUUCCCGUACGAUCACUGAAGUUUAAGCAACAUUGAACGUGGUCAGUAUCUUGAUGGGUGAACACUUGGGAAUACCAGUUGCUGUA